rnacentral:rRNA from 1 species
AGAGUUUGAUCAUGGCUCAGAUUGAACGCUGGCGGCAGGCCUAACACGUGCAAGUCGAACGGUAACAGGAAACAGCUUGCUGUUUCGCUGACGUGUGGCGGACGGGUGAGUAAUGUCUGGGAAACUGCCUGAUGGAGGGGGAUAACUACUGGAAACGGUAGCUAAUACCGCAUAACGUCGCAAGACCAAAGAGGGGGACCUUCGGGCCUCUUGCCAUCAGAUGUGCCCAGAUGGGAUUAGCUAGUAGGUGGGGUAACGGCUCACCUAGGCGACGAUCCCUAGCUGGUCUGAGUGGAUGACCAGCCACACUGGAACUGAGACACGGUCCAGACUCCUACGGGAGGCAGCAGUGGGGAAUAUUGCACAAUGGGCGCAAGCCUGAUGCAGCCAUGCCGCGUGUAUGAAGAAGGCCUUCGGGUUGUAAAGUACUUUCAGCGGGGAGGAAGGGAGUAAAGUUAAUACCUUUGCUCAUUGACGUUACCCGCAGAAGAAGCACCGGCUAACUCCGUGCCAGCAGCCGCGGUAAUACGGAGGGUGCGAGCGUUAAUCGGAAUUACUGGGCGUAAAGCGCACGCAGGCGGUUUGUUAAGUCAGAUGUGAAAUCCCCGGGCUCAACCUGGGAACUGCAUCUGAUACUGGCAAGCUUGAGUCUCGUAGAGGGGGGUAGAAUUCCAGGUGUAGCGGUGAAAUGCGUAGAGAUCUGGAGGAAUACCGGUGGCGAAGGCGGCCCCCUGGACGAAGACUGACGCUCAGGUGCGAAAGCGUGGGGAGCAAACAGGAUUAGAUACCCUGGUAGUCCACGCCGUAAACGAUGUCGACUUGGAGGUUGUGCCCUUGAGGCGUGGCUUCCGGAGCUAACGCGUUAAGUCGACCGCCUGGGGAGUACGGCCGCAAGGUUAAAACUCAAAUGAAUUGACGGGGGCCCGCACAAGCGGUGGAGCAUGUGGUUUAAUUCGAUGCAACGCGAAGAACCUUACCUGGUCUUGACAUCCACGGAAGUUUUCAGAGAUGAGAAUGUGCCUUCGGGAACCGUGAGACAGGUGCUGCAUGGCUGUCGUCAGCUCGUGUUGUGAAAUGUUGGGUUAAGUCCCGCAACGAGCGCAACCCUUAUCCUUUGUUGCCAGCGGUCCGGCCGGGAACUCAAAGGAGACUGCCAGUGAUAAACUGGAGGAAGGUGGGGAUGACGUCAAGUCAUCAUGGCCCUUACGACCAGGGCUACACACGUGCUACAAUGGCGCAUACAAAGAGAAGCGACCUCGCGAGAGCAAGCGGACCUCAUAAAGUGCGUCGUAGUCCGGAUUGGAGUCUGCAACUCGACUCCAUGAAGUCGGAAUCGCUAGUAAUCGUGGAUCAGAAUGCCACGGUGAAUACGUUCCCGGGCCUUGUACACACCGCCCGUCACACCAUGGGAGUGGGUUGCAAAAGAAGUAGGUAGCUUAACCUUCGGGAGGGCGCUUACCACUUUGUGAUUCAUGACUGGGGUGAAGUCGUAACAAGGUAACCGUAGGGGAACCUGCGGUUG